rnacentral:rRNA from 1 species
GCCAGCAGCCAUGUCACCCUGCAGUUCCCAGCUGGCAGCCCACUGGAGCUCAGCAGGUGUGAGCCUGGUCAGUGCCUGGAUGGGAGACCUCCUGGGAAAAUCUAAGGUUGCUGCCGGAA